GACGAACGCUGGCGGCGUGCCUAAUACAUGCAAGUCGAGCGGACGGAUGGGAGCUUGCUCCCAGACCGUCAGCGGCGGACGGGUGAGUAACACGUGGGCAACCUGCCUGUAAGACUGGGAUAACUCCGGGAAACCGGGGCUAAUACCGGAUAACUCUUUCCCUCACAUGAGGGAAAGCUGAAAGAUGGCAUCUCGCUAUCACUUACAGAUGGGCCCGCGGCGCAUUAGCUAGUUGGUGAGGUAACGGCUCACCAAGGCGACGAUGCGUAGCCGACCUGAGAGGAUGAUCGGCCACACUGGGACUGAGACACGGCCCAGACUCCUACGGGAGGCAGCAGUAGGGAAUCUUCCGCAAUGGGCGAAAGUCUGACGGAGCAACGCCGCGUGAGUGAUGAAGGUUUUCGGAUCGUAAAACUCUGUUGUCAGGGAAGAACAGGUACCGGAGUAACUGCCGGUGCCUUGACGGUACCUAACCAGAAAGCCACGGCUAACUACGUG
rnacentral:rRNA from 1 species